GACCUCAGUUCAGGUGAGAUUACCGGCUGAAUUUAAGCAUAUUACUAAGCCGAGGAAAAGAAACUAACAAGGAUUCCCCUAGUAGCAGCGAGCGAACAGGGAAGAGCCCAGCGCUGAAUCCCCCGGGCCUCGCUCGGCGGGAAAUGUAGCGUUUGGGAGGGCCCGUCAACACGGCGACUCGCUCACUGGUUCAAGUCCAACUUGAAUGGGGCCACACAGAGGGUGACAGGCCCGUAGAGCAGGAGCGGUUGUCGUGUGGGUCUCUCCUUAGAGUCGGUUUGCUUGAGAGUGCAGACUUAAGUGGGUGGUAAACUCCAUCUAAGGCUAAAUAUGACCACGAGACCGAUAGCACACAAGUACCGUGAGGGAAAGGUGAAAAGAACUUUGAAGAGAGAGUUCAAGAGUACGUGAAACUGAAGUGGUGUAAACGGACGAGUUCGAAAAGUCCGAAUGGUGAGAUUCAAGCUUACCGUGCCGGUGGCCCUCGGGUUCAGAUGGCGUCGUCAGCUCGGGCUUCGGUUCGGGUCAUACGGCGUCACUCGUCCUGGGGGUAUCUGUCUGGUGCGGUGGGCUGCACUUCUCGCCUAGUAGGACGUCGCGACCCGUUGGGAUGUUCCGUUCACUGGCCCCUGGUGGAGCCCGCGCCGGAGCGUGGCCUUGUGCCGCGUUGCUGUUUGCACGGACCCGGGGUGACCUGAUCGGCGCCCGACGGUAUCAAAGCUUGGGAAGAGGCCGCACAGAGGAUGCGUUCGAUGGCCGUUUCGGCCUACACUCGGACAGGCCUGCACCCGGUCAGCGGCGCUUCU
rnacentral:rRNA from 1 species